rnacentral:tRNA from 1 species
GGGCCUGUUUAUCGGCAUCGAACGACGCUGGGGGACCACGCGCACGGUUUCCGGGGCCGUGUGUCGCAGGUUCGAAUCCUGCCGGGCCCG